GCAGCUUCCUCCUCCCUCUUCUUGCCACAGGAUGGUUUUGGCAGGGCCUCGGGGCCAACGGGGACAAGCACGCCAGUCCCUCCCCGCAGAGCCUACCUGGGACUUAGAUUCUUUUCAUAGCUGACGAUAAGCAAGGCAUGUUUGUGUUCACAGCCCUGAUGGGGAGAUAGGCGCAUUCUGCCUGCCUUCGCUCAUUCAAGACGGCAGCAGGCGUCUGAGAAGCACCAGGGCCCACGUGGAGCUCAGGGCAGCAGCCGGCGGCCUCCGGAGUCUCCACAGCCGGAACAGCACCCAGGCCCCUGGAAACGGCACCUCCCCAGAAGAGCGGCCCCGGUGCGAUCUGAAACAAAGUCUCCGUGCCCUCGGGGCCUGGCCCCGAUGCGGCGUCCCCCCCCCCCGCCCCCCCAGCCUGGCCGUUGCAGCAACAUGCAGAGGCAUCUGGUGGGGGAAGAGGAGCUGGCCCGAUGCUGUCUGCUGCCUGCCGUCACCCAGGGACCGGCGCCCUGGUCCCCCUCCCUGGGGACCCGCGAGAGGCUCCGACUGCAGUGGGGGAGGGGAAGGGGAGGCCACAGGAACCGGUCCCGAGUGAGGACGGCCUCAGAGGGACCGCCUGGCAGCACUGGGCAUGGGGUCCCGAAGAUGCCCUCGGGCUUGGAAGGGCCCAGCCUUCUAACGGCUCCGUGGCCAGACUUAGCCGCAGAGCAGCGUGGGGCCCAGAUCCUGGGGCUGGACAGUGGAGAGCGACGUGGCUCAUCUCUGGCAAGUUCCCCCAGGAGCUGAGGACUGGGGCCGCAGGGCCGUAGGAGGGCUUUGUCCCGGCCCAGCGCCAAUCUGAAUUACUUAAAGCAGAAAGUCCGAGUGGCUCCUCUUCCAAAGCAGCCUGGUGCUGGGGUCAGGGUCAGGGACAGGGACGUGCCCCUGGCCCUGGGUCGGAGGUGGCGGGGGCCGCGGCCCAGGGUGAUCGCAGGGGACUGAGGGCUGCCCCCCACUGCCACCCGGUCACCGCCUCCCUUCCUGUUUUCCCACUCUCGUGGGCUUGGAAGGAGAGCAGGGAGCAGGAGCUGGCAAGUUUUUCUUUCUCCUCAUUUCAGAAACAAGAUGUCAUGUCUGUGAUGCUGAAACGCAUGGGCAGAUUUUAGGGAGGUUUCUGUUAUUAAAAGCGAGAGGCUAUCAAUUCAGA